rnacentral:rRNA from 1 species
UACGUAGGUGGCAAGCGUUGUCCGGAAUUAUUGGGCGUAAAGAGCUCGUAGGCGGUGUGUCACGUCGGCCGUGAAAACCUGCAGCUUAACUGUGGGCGUGCGGUCGAUACGGGCAUCACUGGAGUUCGGCAGGGGAGACUGGAAUUCCUGGUGUAGCGGUGAAAUGCGCAGAUAUCAGGAGGAACACCGGUGGCGAAGGCGGGUCUCUGGGCCGAUACUGACGCUGAGGAGCGAAAGCGUGGGGAGCGAACAGG